rnacentral:rRNA from 1 species
AUGAAGAACGUAGCGAAAUGCGAUACUUGGUGUGAAUUGCAGAAUCCCGUGAACCAUCGAGUCUUUGAACGCAAGUUGCGCCUGAAGCAGUUAAGCUAAAGGCACGUCUGCCUGGGCGUCACGC